CAAUAACUUGUUAGGUGAGCCCAUAUGACUUAGAGAUCAAGUCGCUGCAACAUGCUUAAAGAAGCAUCUGGAUAAAGAGUUAUCCACACAUCGAUGUUCAUUCGUGUUACCAAUAACUGUUAGGUGAGGUGCACAGCAUCGGUGGGACCGCAGCACCUAUUAAAAACUCAAUUGUCGCAUUAGAAUUUUUAUUUCUCCAUCCAG
rnacentral:lncRNA from 1 species